UGUAUAAUGGGUCAGCGACUUAUAUUCUGUAGCAAGGUUAACCGUAUAGGGGAGCCGCAGGGAAACCGAGUCUUAACUGGGCGUUAAGUUGCAGGGUAUAGACCCGAAACCCGGUGAUCUAGCCAUGGGCAGGUUGAAGGUUGGGUAACACUAACUGGAGGACCGAACCGACUAAUGUUGAAAAAUUAGCGGAUGACUUGUGGCUGGGGGUGAAAGGCCAAUCAAACCGGGAGAUAGCUGGUUCUCCCCGAAAGCUAUUUAGGUAGCGCCUCGUGAACUCAUCUUCGGGGGUAGAGCACUGUUUCGGCUAGGGGGUCAUCCCGACUUACCAACCCGAUGCAAACUACGAAUACCGAAGAAUGUUAUCACGGGAGACACACGGCGGGUGCUAACGUCCGUCGUGAAGAGGGAAACAACCCAGACCGCCAGCUAAGGUCCCAAAGUCAUGGUUAAGUGGGAAACGAUGUGGGAAGGCACAGACAGCCAGGAUGUUGGCUUAGAAGCAGCCAUCAUUUAAAGAAAGCGUAAUAGCUCACUGGUCGAGUCGGCCUGCGCGGAAGAUGUAACGGGGCUAAACCAUGCACCGAAGCUGCGGCAGCGACACUAUGUGUUGUUGGGUAGGGGAGCGUUCUGUAAGCCUGCGAAGGUGUGCUGUGAGGCAUGCUGGAGGUAUCAGAAGUGCGAAUGCUGACAUAAGUAACGAUAAAGCGGGUGAAAAGCCCGCUCGCCGGAAGACCAAGGGUUCCUGUCCAACGUUAAUCGGGGCAGGGUGAGUCGACCCCUAAGGCGAGGCCGAAAGGCGUAGUCGAUGGGAAACAGGUUAAUAUUCCUGUACUUGGUGUUACUGCGAAGGGGGGACGGAGAAGGCUAUGUUAGCCGGGCGACGGUUGUCCCGGUUUAAGCAUGUAGGCUGAUUGUCCAGGCAAAUCCGGAUAAUCAAGGCUGAGGUGUGAUGACGAGGCACUACGGUGCUGAAGUAACAAAUGCCCUGCUU
rnacentral:rRNA from 1 species